CUGACGUUUCAGAAUAUUCAGCGAAUACUAAGCGGUGCCUCCCGGCCGGAAACGACGGGAUGAGCAGGGGGUUAACUCAGGGAAACCUGUUCGGGGCAACUGGCCCCGAUGGCAAUCCUGAGCCAAGCCGGGGAACGGUCAUGAUAGUACCCGGAAGGUGCAGAGACUAGGAAGUGAGCAGACCAUGCAAUACGCUUCCACCAACGCCCCCCACCUAACCCCGCCCUGGCGGAUACGGUGAUGAGAUAGUCCAACUACUUCGGGAAACCGGAGG
rnacentral:ncRNA from 1 species